CAACUCGUAAAAGCAAAAUGCAAUGGAGGAAACCCUAAUCGUGAAUCAUCUCAAUCGACUGUUUCAUAAACCCUCUCCGUCAACCAUUGUGUCACCUCCGUAUGGAGCAUCUCAAUUCUAGGAUCUCAGCAAACCCUAUCUUUUAUGCGGCUAAAUCUACCAUUUCGGUUCACUUCGCUUGAUGCGGAAGCACGACUCAAGGAUAAGAAAUCAAGAGAUUUUACUAGAGAAGAUUUGAAGGAAGCUCAAGGUUCGAAUGUUGGUAUUAUUGUUGAUUGAUGCUCUAUUCUUGCUACCAAUUGCUUUCAAAGUAAAUAGUUUUUCAUCUUGCACACAAGGUGUUUGAUGAAAAGUCUCAACCAAGUUCUUUCACUUUUUUUCUGUUUCAGUUUGGCUUUUGCUUUUUUUGUUCAUAUUCGUAUCAGUUUCAUUUUGAAUGAGAUUUGAUGCAUUAUUAUGAAAUUUCGAAAUAUGAAUUUGUUUGAGUAUGCAAUUUAGAAGAUUGCGGAGUAUGAUGUUAACAGGGUUUAAUUUUGGAUGUUUGAUUUUGGAUGAUUGCUAUUAGGAGAACAUAAAGCAUAUCAGUAUUGCAAUUUCUACUUAAGGCAAUUGAGAAUCAAAUUUGAUGUUCACAAUUUAGUUUAUGUUCAUGAUGUGACACUCAAGAUUGAUGCCGUGAAUCUUUUAUCUUUAAGAUGCUCAUGUUAUCCAAUAACAGAAUUUAUCCCUGUUAACCUAACCUCCUUAGUUGAUGCAUAUAUUGAUGUUGGGUAUGUCUAUCUGCCUAAUAUACCAUACGCUGCUCAGUGUGCAAUUCAGCUAUUCAGUGGACUAAGUAGUGUCAAGUCUCUCAAACUAUCUAAUAAUACUCUUGAGUGUCUCUACCAUACAAAGGAUACUCUCCAUCUCCUUCCUACAUUUCACACUUUGACACAUCUUCUUGUGUUGUCUGGUCCCGAGUAUAAUAAUGAAGUAUUAAUGAGCAUUCUCCGAAAGACUCCUAAACUAGAAGUUCUUGAGAUACCUAGGGUGGUACGCUUUAUAUUCAGCAUCAGUGCUUUUAUUUGUUGUGUCUCAAGGCUAACAAUAAUUUUAUUUUUGUCAAUUGACUUGU